rnacentral:misc_RNA from 1 species
AACGCACGAGACCUGCGGACCUGCGGAAGGAUCAUUACAAGUGACCCCGGUCUAACCACCGGGAUGUUCAUAACCCUUUGUUGUCCGACUCUGUUGCCUCCGGGGCGACCCUGCCUUCGGGCGGGGGCUCCGGGUGGACACUUCAAACUCUUGCGUAACUUUGCAGUCUGAGUAAACUUAAUUAAUAAAUUAAAACUUUUAGCAACGGAUCUCU